CCCAAAAAUAUUUGCAAAGCCCAUUAAAACCCAAUUAAAAUGCAGGCGUAUCGAAGGAUAACCCAUGUCUGUUUAUCGGAAGGGGAAGAACGGUCUAGGUUUUCUUUCUCGGUAUUACACAAAAAAUUGGGAACAUAUAUAUCACCCCCGGGCACCGAUCAAUAUCGUUGCAGUGAUUUCUACUCAACCUCUUCAUCACCAAAAUUGAAAGGUAUUAUCGGAUUGUAUUAGUGUUUAAAAGGGCUUUAUAUGUUGAAAUCGACUCGAUUUGUUUGUUGUGAAUGAUUAAAUUUGAACUCAACUCCUCAUAAUUUAUUCUAUUUUUCCAUAAUUGUUGUUUCUCGAUGGUAAUGUUUCUCUAGCAGCAGUGAUUUUUUCAACAAUAUUUCUCUCGAAUUUUUGAUGCGGUUGUUUAUGGUUUUCCAUUGCCUUAAAAACUGGCUAUCCUAAUAGGUGAAAUUCCCAGGACCCAAAUCCAGUGUGGGCAACUAAACCUCAGGUGGCUCCGCCCCUUCAUGGACACUCUUGAGUAAAUUCAAUUCCAAGACUUCUAAAAUAAUAUUGAGGAAGAAAAUUUGAAAAAAUGACACUAAUUUUGACGUGUUCAUUUAUUUGUUCCACUGAUAGUUUUCAUCCCCUUUUCUUUGUUUAUGAAGAUCAACUAGGAUGACCAAAAUUUUCCAAGAAUAGGUUCUGGAGUUUGAAUAUAAGAAAAUGAUGGAUGUAACGUUUAUUUUGUAGAGAUGUUUAUUGAUGAGAUAACCUCUGUGUUUGUAGCUUGCUCAUUUGAAAAAACUGCAUAAGAAGCUGAAAACAGUUUUGGGUAAAUGAUUUUGGUUCUACUUUGGAAAAAAAGUUGCGUUAUAAAGAAAGAAAAGUUUUGAUUACGUUAUGGUGGAGUUCACAUUGUUCGACUCACUUGAAUGUGAUUUCUAUAUAUUCCACCUUUCACAUGGAUAAUGUUGCUCAUAUUUUCUUCGGUGUCUUGUGUUGGCAUCUUUUUCUCUUUUUAUGUGCCAACUGCAUGUUCUUGUACUCAUUACCUGUGUUUCUUUCUUGAGAGAAAGGUAUUAUCGAAUCCUUUUCUGUUUUCCCAAAAUCCUUCGUUCUAUGGUCCCUUGGGAAUUUAAAGCCUGUUUAAUGGACUCGAAGUAUUUUUGCUCAUCCAAUUAUUUUGAGGUUUCUUGAGUUGCAUCUCAAGAAUUGUAGGGAACACAGGAGAGGGCUAGCCACGAGCUUCAAACUUAGAUGUAAUCUUAGAAAGGGACCUGCUGCCUCCCGGGUUGGCUGCGUUUCAAAUAAUAAAAUAACGAUAGAGUGGGGCGAACCACGGUGUGUAUUGUUUGAGAUGGGGAGGGAGGAGUUUGACAACUAAAAUUUUUGCUCUUGUCAACGAAGUGUCAUUGAUUUGCAUCACCUAUAUUAUGAUCUUUUUCUUUUGUUAAUGGGCAUUUGAAGCAAUCAAAUUAAAAGUGAUUUUUUUUCCUGAAAAUAUUGUUCAAGAAUCUAAGGUUGUGAGAGUGGGUAAAUAAUGGUUUCGAGUUUAAGAGGCCAGUUUCCCCCGAAAACAUUUAAGUGGCAGUUGUACUGUCAUAACUGGGGCCUUUCUUCAUUGAAACUUACAUGUUAGUUAGUGGUUGCCAUUGUGCUAUAAUUCAUUUAUGAUUUGCAAAUGUGUGCCCUAGGUAUUGGUAUGUGCUACUUCUAUCGUUCCCAAUUUCCGAUUAGCAAUUAUAGGAACUCUUGAGUCACUAUAUUGACAUGCUUGUUUUUGCACUUCCUGUAACAGAUGAUUGAUGAUCAGGACCUGGGCUUCUUUGCCAAUUUUCUUGGCAUAUUUAUAUUUGUAGUCGUGAUUGCUUAUCAUUAUGUAAUGGCUGACCCAAAAUAUGAAGGCAACUGAAGAGUUCCUUUGAUAUCAACCUAUAGUAUGAGUGUUUUGUCAGUUUAAUUAUGUUUACGCAGUUUGGAAUGAAUACUUUUUUCUAUAGCAAGAGCUUCUCUUGGACAAAUUUAUCCUUGCUUCUAAUUCAUUGAUAAACUUGGAAUAAUUCCCCUUCUAUUUACCAAUUAUUAUAUCUUCUUUGUUGAAAAUUCCAUCUGAUUCCGUGCAUGGUUUUGUCGUGGGACGAAAUGGGUAAUGUUCCCCAGUUGGAUGACAUGUCAUGGGGAAAAUAGCAGAAACAUUGAUGCCAGAUGAAGUUUUUGCGAACAGAAAUUAGGAUUAUUAUUUUGAGGCUGUGUAUAUGUAUUACAGAAAGUAGAACUUGUUCAAGAGAAAUUUGAGUUACAUUUUGGUAUGGGAGGAUGCUGGAAAAAAGUGAAGUUUUAUCAUAUGUAAUCUCAAAAAUUAAAUAGUAGCAGGUAAUCUUACGAAUUUUUAACAUGCCAAUUUACUAUAUUUUCUAAUAGUAGCAAUUGCUGCCACUGGCCCCGCUAUGUAUUAGAGGAGGGGUGGGAAAGUUAGCAAGUUUAAUGUGCGAAAAUAAUAACCACACGUGGCUCACUAUUAGCCUAUUGGACAGCGUUAGAGCUCGUUUUUAUUUGUUUGACGCUUGCUACGUGGGUUAAAGUAGAUGCACGGCCGAUGGAACAAUUUUUGACAGCAUAGAUUGAUUUGCUCCGUAAUUUACUGACUUCACGAGAUAACAAUUGAAUAGACCCGGCAAGAUUUGAGACGAACUUCCUCUUACUCGGAGAGGAUGAUGCAGUUGCAAGCCACGAUACUUCAUCACGAGACCUUGAUAUAACUAUCGAUGGCAUGGUUCCAAUUUAUUCAUGUCCAUCUAAUUAUAUUUGUUUGGAAAAUUAUGUUUCUUGUAUUCUGUUGACUGCGACCCUUGAUCAUCUAGCAAUUGUUUUGAAGUAUUGAAUAUGCUAUCGUAAUCGAAUGAAAAAUUUAGAACUUUGAUUUCAAUUCUUUUCAAUUCCAUAUCAAUAUUAUUUAGAAUCAACAAUUUUAUUGAUUUAGGUUAUUUUGCAUUCGUGCUUGAAUCAA
rnacentral:lncRNA from 1 species